UUGGACACUGCCAGGGAUGCACAGGCAGCGUUACGCUUUCAUGGCCAGUGGAGUCCAGCACUAAACUGGGCUAAACUCCAUGAUUUAACUUCUAAUUGAAACUGGUGUCUUGACUAGGCCAAGUUGCUUGUCUCCUGUGUCCAGUUCUUCCCACUGGGCACAUGGGACAUGUGGGAUGGCUGACUCAGUGUUGUAGCCUUCCACAGGGCUGAGGGGGACACAUCGAGACUCCCAGUCCUGGUGUAGAUUCCCAGUGGCACCUGAAGCACCCAAGCAGGGCUGGAAGCUGCUGCACGGGUCCUAUAGAAAACCUGUGUCACUUGGGAGCCAGGUUUGACCCCCGAGAGAUGUCCCUGUGCACUCAACCAAACUAACCCUGGCAUGUCCUGAGAUAUCUCACCAGCUUUUGGAGACUUCACCCGCCUUGUCCUGAGCUUCUGAUUUCCAAGUGUUGUUAGUCAGUAUUAGUAGGAAAAGGAGGUGUAAGAAAGAGUUCCUUGAGGGCACCCUCGAUGUUUCUGGUCGAUGCUUGGGUGCACCAGAGCGGAGAAAUGUUCAAUCAAGCCUCUGAACACGGGGAUGUGUCAAUAGCAGAAUGAAUUUUGGGCUGAAGGAGAUCCAGCACAUCCAUUUCAGUAAACAGGAGGUAUCUGCAGACAAUGGUAAAAGUCAGUGCUGUAAAGCAAAUUAAACCUUUCCCUUCUUUCUCUA